rnacentral:lncRNA from 1 species
AGCUGCUGGCUCGCGGGGACCCGGCAGCUGCUUAGCGGCGGGCGGCGGCCGGGACCUGGGGUGGUGCGAGGCGGCGGGACCGAGCAGGCACCAUGGUGCUGUCGGUGCCUGUGAUCGCGCUGGGCGCCACGCUGGGCACCGCCACCAGUAUCCUCGCGCUGUGCGGGGUCACCUGCCUGUGCCGGCACAUGCACCCCAAGAAGGGGCUGCUGCCGCGGGACCGAGAGCCGGACCCCGAGAAGGCGAGGCCGGGGGUGCUCCAGCCCGCCCAACAGGUGAGCGGCGCCUGGCCCUCCCGCGAGGCGG